GACGACGCUGGCGGCGUGCCUAAUACAUGCAAGUAGAACGAGUUGCGAACGGGUGAGUAACGCGUGGUAACCUGCCUCAUAGCGGGGGAUAACUAUUGGAAACGAUAGCUAAUACCGCAUAGCUAUGGAUGACCCUGCGUGGUAUUAGCUAGUUGGGGAGGUAAAGGCUCACCAAGGCGACGAUCCCUAGCUGGUCUGAGAGGAUGACCAGCCACACUGGAACUGAGACACGGUCCAGACUCCUACGGGAGGCAGCAGUGGGGAAUAUUGCACAAUGGGCGCAAGCCUGAUGCAGCCAUGCCGCGUGUAUGAAGAAGGCCUUCGGGUUGUAAAGUACUUUCAGCGGGGAGGCGUUACCCGCAGAAGAAGCACCGGCUAACUCCGUGCCAGCAGCCGCGGUAAUUC
rnacentral:rRNA from 1 species